rnacentral:misc_RNA from 1 species
GUUGGAACGUUGGCAAAUCACCUUACAAUGGUAUAAUAAGAUACCAAGCUUUCUUGGUCAGUGAUUCAAGGGCGUAAUCUAAUGUGCAAAAAACACCGUAUUGAAAUGACUUCUCCUGAGCCAUCCUUUCUGAGAUAUGCAUAUCAUUGCACAUGUCUCUUUUGUUAUGCAGUUAUGCUGACAAUUCAUUGAUUUUCUGCUUUGGCCA